rnacentral:snoRNA from 1 species
CUGCAUCCACUGAUAGACCUUUGAACAGUUUCCUGUUGUUCUUUGGUUUGCACUAGGAUGCAAAAAAAAAAAAAAGGGGGAAAAAAAAUCCCUGUGUUUUCUGUCUGUCUUUGUGGUAGCCCAGUUUGAAUAAGGGAAUACAUCU